AUAAACUAAAAGUUUGACCUCAAAUCAGGUAGGACUACCCGCUGAACUUAAGCAUAUCAAUAAGC
rnacentral:rRNA from 1 species